rnacentral:piRNA from 1 species
UGAAAGGAAACUCAGAAAAUGUGGCCAGAG